GUUGCAGUGGUAAAAUGAUGGAAACAACACAGGGAAAGGGGUUUAUUUUGGCUUGUGGUUCCAGAGAGACAGAGUCCAUCAGAGUGGGGAAGACAUGGCAACAGGAACAUGAAACUCACUCACCGCAACGCAUCAGAAGUUAGACAGCAGAGAGAGAACAGGAAGCCAGCUCAGACUCGGAAGCCUUAAAGCCCACCCCCAGUGACUCACUUCCUCCAGCAAGGGACUAGCUUCUAAAGGGUUUCAGGACCUUCCCCCAAAGCACCACCAGCUGGGGAAGUACUCAGACGGGAGCCUCUGGGAAGACUUCAUAUUCAAACCUCAGCCUCUCCAAUUACCAGCUUCUCAAAGAGAGGGCGUUGAGACGCAACGAUAACACAGGCAUGCGCAAAGGCUGUAGGGAACUUCUCUACCAGUUGAGCUCUGCUCUGCUUGCUGUGUUUGGUGAUCUUGAUAUUUAACUACAGUGAUGAUAAGAGGGGAAACUUUUUUAUAUUAUGUUAAAUGCAGUUUUGUAAGGAGCAAAACAAACUCUUGAUGUUCAAUGAUAAAGUGAUUUCUGAAAAAAUGCUGAUUCAUCCACGAAAUGAAGUAAUAUGCUGCUAAUGAUAUUACAUCGCCAAAGAAAACCUAUCAAAUAAAAGCCAUAAAGACAAGAA
ensembl:lincRNA BC049739 cDNA sequence BC049739